GGAUGAGGUCAGCGUGGGAAGGAUGAGGUCAGAGUGGGAAGGAUGAGGUCAGAGUGGGAAGGAUGAGGUCAGAGUGGGAAGGAUGAGGUCAGAGUGGGAAGGAUGAGGUCAGAGUGGGAAGGAUGAGGUCAGCGGAGGGAAGGAUGAGGUCAGAGUGGGAAGGAUGUGGUCAGAGUGGGAAGGAUGAGCUCAGCGGAGGGAAGGAUGUGGUCAGCGGAGGGAAGGAUGUGGUCAGCGGUGGGAAGUAUGAGGUCAGAGUGGGAAGGAUGUGGUCAGCGGAGGGAAGGAUGUGCUGAGAGUGGGAAGAAUGAGGUCAGCGGAGGGAAGGAUGUGGUCAGAUUGGGAAGGAUGUGGUCAGAGUGGGAAGGAUGUGGUCAGAGUGGGAAGGAUGUGGUCAGAGAGGGAAGGAUGUGGUCAGCGGAGGGAAGGAUGUGGUCAGCGGAGGGAAGGAUGUGGUCAGCGGAGGGAAGGAUGUGGUCAGAGUGGGAAGGAUGUGGUCAGCAGAGGGAAGGAUGUGGUCAGCGGAGGGAAGUAUGAGGUCAGCAGAGGGAAGGAUGAGGUCAGCAGAGGGAAGGAUGUGGUCAGCGGAGGGAAGGAUGAGGUCAAAGGGAGAGGCGGGAGCAGUAGGAUGUCUCGUCUCGUCGUCUCCCCAUCCACGCCGUCUGUGGCUUCGUAUGACUCAGUCAGAUGACGUUAGAGUUCCGUACAAGUAGCUAGCUAACGACACAGCUUCUUGUGGUGACGAGAAGAAAGAACCUGAGGUCGUGUAGUUACAUAAACAGUACUUACUGGUUAAUCCAUACUACAGGGUGGACAAAUGUAGACACUGAAUUAUUGAUUUAAAGGCCCGAAGCUUUCCAUUAGAUCUGAUAGUUAGAUCGUCUAUAGAAGAGAAAGAACCACACAUUGCAGAAGAGAGAAACAAAUGGCAAGACAGUCUAUGUGAAGAUAAAGCAGAGGUAGAGGUCGAGAGAGGUGUUCCUCCAUCCAUUGUUUCACUCCUUUUCCUCCACUCCUCGAGGCCAAACCAGCCCUCUACUCCAUUAGGCUCUGGGGUCAAUGUAUGGAAAUGUAUGACAGUAUCCAUCCAUCACAUCAGUGACAGGGGUGAGUCUCCACUCUAUUAUCCCCCAUCUGGAGUGUGUGAAGAUGGGCUAAGAUAACACCUUAGCCCCAGGCUUCGGCCCUCUGCACAUUAAUCAAGUGUAAACAGCCUGGCUGGUGGUACAUUAUCUGAUAGUUAGACCCCUCACUGCUAUAUCAACCACCCGGCCUGUAUGGCUGUGGCAGGCUCCAUAUGAGGAUAACACACACACACACACCACAAUAUGAGGAUAUUUCCCGGCCUUACUAUACAAUAGAGUAGACAGAGACACAAAAUCCCUAUAGAAAGUCCAAUUACGUUUGGAAUCCUGACAUCUCCGCAACGUAAAAAAAAAAAAACAGGAAGCCUAUGCAUAGAGCCAACCCGCCAGAGAGAGAAAUACUGCCACUUGUUAUCUGUGCCCAUUUAUGGCGAUUUAAAAGGAACCCAGGAGAGUAGGCAUUGUUCAGGGGUGCACUGUAUGCCCUGCCCCUCUGCCCCGCUGCCAUAUGGCACAGUGCUGGGAGACCUCCGGGGGGAGCCGUAGCGCCAAGCCCUAAUGCAGGAGACAAGUGAUUUAUCACCUGGCCACCAGGGCUAAUCCACCGGGCUCUCUGGUUCUCCUUGUGGGCCUCACACAGAGGAGGCUUUAUUAUCCACGUUUGUAUCUACUGUACAUACAUUGAGAACACACACACACA
ensembl:lncRNA